AUUGAACGCUGGCGGCAGGCCUAACACAUGCAAGUCGAACGAGUGGCGGACGUGUGAGUAAUGUCUGGGAAACUGCCCGAUGGAGGGGGAUAACUACUGGAAACGGUAGCUAAUACCGCAUACCAUCGGAUGUGCCCAGAAGGGAUUAGCUAGGGGGUGGGGUAACGGCUCACCUAGGCGAAGAUCCCUAGCUGGUCUGAGAGGAUGAGCAGCAACACGGGAACGGAGACACGGUCCAGACUCCUACGGGAGGCAGAAGUGGGGAAUAUUGCACAAUGGGCGCAAGCCUGAUGCAGCAAUGCCGGGUGUAUGAAGAAGGCCUUCGGGUUGUAAAGUACUUUCAGCGAGGAGGCGUUACUCGCAGAAGAAGCACCGGCUAACUCCGUGCCAGCAGCCGCGGUAAUAC
rnacentral:rRNA from 1 species